rnacentral:rRNA from 1 species
GACGUAGGGCGCGAGCGUUGUCCGGAUUUAUUGGGCGUAAAGAGCUCGUAGGCGGCUUGUCGCGUCGUCCGUGAAAACCUGCGGCUCAACUGCAGGCUGGCGGUCGAUACGGGCAGGCUGGAGUUCGGUAGGGGAGACUGGAAUUCCCGGUGUAGUGGUGAAAUGCGUAGAUAUCGGGAGGAACACCAGUGGCGAAGGCGACUACCUGGCCUGUUCUUGACGCUGAGGCGCGAAAGCUAGGGGAGCAAACGGG